UCGAACCGGCGUCCUCCCGAUGCAAUGGUCUAGACCUCUAGGCCAUGCCGCUCGGUUUUUAGUAUUUCUCAUUGUCACAUAUACGGCUGGAGUGACAAAUUUUUGGAUUUAGCAGCAAAUUAGUGAUAAAUUAUAAUGCAAUUUAGAAAUGAGAAAUAUAACUUUGUCGGACUUUCUCAAGUCUAAGAAAUUUUCAAGCAAGUGGUUUUAUGUUAGAUAUACAUAGAGAGUUUAAUAAAUAUCCAUUUUUUAAUAACGUUUCCAAUAAAUCUUUUACCUGACAUAAUAAGAAAAACAAUAUUGCAUCGGCUAGGAAUCAAACUUGGUAAGCAGUCAUUCUAUAACUACCGACGCUUCUUGCAAAGUUUAUCUGACUUAAGGUAUUUUUUACUCGUAUUAAUUACAGGUUAAUUUAAAUUAAAUUUUACCUUUCGAAUAAUGUAAGGUUCAUUCACCUCCUUUUAUAAUAAAAAAAUACUAGAUGUAGGUGUAGUGAUUGAUAUCUUUAUGAUGAUUUUUUUUUUUUUCGCUCAAAAGGAAUAGCGGUGGCGAAGUAUCGUGUUAUCAUAAUAUUAAUAGGGGAAGGAGUACUAUACAAUCCAAAUGAAAAAUUCAGCUUUUUUGUAUGUAAGAAGGUUUUCAUUAAAGCUCAAGCGCUUAAUGUGUACUCUCAACGUAGGAAAAGUAAAUUAAUAGUUAGAUGUCACAGAUAGAGACCAGUAUAAUACUCUAUUACACAAUUAGGUAGUUUUAUAAAAAUACAUACUACAUAAUACGAUGAAAUUUUAAAACAUGCUGUCAUUUCUUUAAUUUGCGUGCAAUUUUUCAAUCCAAAUAUGUGGGUCCUGCUAAUAAGUGUACCUCCUACACAUAAAUCUGCCCACGGGUUUUUAAACAACACUUGUGUUUUAGACGCAGAAUCCAUACACUGUAUCUAUAGCUACGUUGAAAGUAUGUAAAUUCUUAUAUAAAGUUUUGCUUAAAAAUUUCAAUUUCAAAAAUCAGAUAAUUUCGGAGCAAUAUAAUUAGAAAAAUUUAUUGCACUUGCAUAGAUAUUUGUAAUUUUGCAAUAAAUAAAGUAUAUUAAUAAUUUUCAAAAUUGUAUCUAAACACAUAUAUAAUCAUUUGAGUUCCGAUUAAUUAUUUUUCAUGAUCUGUACACCAUAUUUUAUUUAAUUGUAUUAAAGGAAAUGUCAAUUGAGAAAUGUGUGGGAUGAUGGCAUUAAGUAAAUCAUAAUUGGUGUUUAAGAAGUGGCCUGAAUAAUAAUUGAGGCAAUGUAUCUAUAUUUUAAAACACGAGCAUUUCUAACACUUUUAAAGACGUUACCUAAUAACGAUAACGUUAAAUAAAUAUUUAAAAUUAUUUUCGCAAUUACAAAGAUGGUGUUAAAAAUUAGAAACAAUUUUGAUAGGUAGGCACAUAUGAAAAGUAAAAUGGUAAAAAUGGCACAAUAUAAGGUAAAACUGACCUGAAAAUCUGGUACCAGGGCUAUGGCUGCACUACUAGGAGAGCCUUUUGCUGCUGAGCCCCAUUCCGACAUCACGUGUGCCACUGGAAACAAAAGAAAGCCUAAUUUAGUAUACAAAUGUAUACGUAACAGGUAAGGAUGAUGAAGUUAUUUUGUCAUAUAAGUCAUAUUAAACGUAUUUGUACAUUAA
rnacentral:lncRNA from 1 species